rnacentral:piRNA from 1 species
ACUGUAUAAAGGGCAACACAUGA